GCAACAUGUAGCUCAGCUGGUAGAGGACGAGACUCUUAAUCGCAGGGUCGUGGGUUCGAACCCCACGUUGGGCA